AAUUAUAGUUCUAGUAUCAUAAUGUUUUAUUUAUGUACAAAUCACAUCAAUUACUAUUUGUACUUUGUGUUGUAAAUAGACAUGAACCUUUUUUUUUAUUUGACCAAAAGACAAGGCUUCUGUAUAGAGGUUCUUCUGUAUAGAGGUUCUUCUGUAUAGAGGUUCUUCUGUAUAGAGGUUCUUCUGUAUAGAGGUUCUUCUGUAUAGAGGUUCUUCUGUAUAGAGGUUCUUCUGUAUAGAGGUUCUUCUGUAUAGAGGUUCUUCUGUAUAGAGGUUCUUCUGUAUAGAGGUUCUUCUUCUGUAUAGAGGUUCUUCUUCUGUAUAGAGGUUCUUCUUCUGUUCUAGAGGUUUCUCUUCUGUAUAGAGGUUCUUCUUCUGUAUAGAGGUUCUUCUUCUGUAUAGAGGUUCUUCUUCUGUAUAGAGGUUCUUCUUCUGUAUAGAGGUUCUUCUUCUGUAUACAGGUUCUUCUUCUGUAUACAGGUUCUUCUUCUGUAUACAGGUUCUUCUUCUGUAUACAGGUUCUUCUUUAUCAUAAGAGUCUAUUUUUACAAAUCAAUUGAAUAUUUUAUUGAAUUGAUUG
rnacentral:lncRNA from 1 species